rnacentral:tRNA from 2 species
GCGGGUGUGGCGGAACUGGCAGACGCGCUAGGUUCAGGGUCUAGUGCCCUUUACGGGCGUGGGGGUUCAAAUCCCUCCACCCGCACCA